rnacentral:rRNA from 1 species
AGCAGUCGCCGCGGUAAUACGAAGGGGGCUAGCGUUGUUCGGAAUUAUUGGGCGUAAAGCGCGCGCAGGCGGAUAGGUCAGUCUGUCUUAAAAGUUCGGGGCUUAACCCCGUGAUGGGAUGGAAACUGCCAAUCUAGAGUAUCGGAGAGGAAAGUGGAAUUCCUAGUGUAGCGGUGAAAUGCGUAGAUAUUAGGAAGAACACCAGUGGCGAAGGCGACUUUCUGGACGAAAACUGACGCUGAGGCGCGAAAGCCAGGGGAGCGAACGGGAUUAGAUACCCCGGUAGUCCCUGUCUCUUAUACC